CAAAUGGGCAUCAUCAUGACAGCAGAUGGAAUUCGCUGUUUCGCCCAGGCUGGAGUGAAGUGGCGCGAUGUGGGCUCACUGCAACCUCCGCCCCCAGGGUUCAAGGGAUUCUCCUGCCUCAGCCACCAUGAUUUAACACUGAGAAGUAGGCAGUCACAGAGAAAAAGUUUGGAAUAGUUCACCAGUGAAGUCAUCUCAACCAGCACAGGGCCUUGACUCCUAACAACAAUCACACGAACUUGGAAGAGGAUCCUUCCCCAGCUGAAACUUCACUUGAGACCUUCUCAUUGGCCAUCAUCGACAUCUGGAUUCAUGAUACAGAGAAACUUGAGUAAUGAUGACAAUAGCAGUCCAGCCUGCAUGGAUGCUGACAUGGAUGCUGUCUCCCAUUCUUACCACUGGAUGUCAAGAACUGCUAGAUGCGAUCCAGCCAGUCUGUACUCGACUCUCAGUUCCAUCUUCUCAACUCACAGUGUCUUCCAAAGUCCAUGCCACACCACAGCCUGGAAGAUCUCCCAAGGUGGUAUCUUGAGGCAAUGGUAGAGCUCAUGUCACAGUAUUGUAUGCCUCAGGCUUUGAAUAACUCACCAGUGAAGUCAUCUUGACCUGGACAGAAAUUGAAUCCUCCCAAGAAUCCCAGGAGCUUGGAAGGGGAUCCUUCCCCAGAUGAGCCUUCCCUUGAAAUCUCUGCCAGGCAUCUGACCCAGAGAAACU
rnacentral:lncRNA from 10 species